CCCUUAGAUGUUCUGGGCCGCACGCGCGCUACACUGACGAACUCAACGAGCUUAUCACCUUGGCAGAGAUGUCUGGGUAAUCUUUUGAAAGUUCGUCGUGCUGGGGAUAGAUGAUUGUAAUUAUUCGUCUUGAACGAGGAAUUCCUAGUAAGUGUGAGUCAUCAGCUCGCGCUGAUUACGUCCCUGCCCUUUGUACACACCGCCCGUCGCUCCUACCGAUUGAAUGGUCCGGUGAGGUUCUCGGAUUUUUUCUGUUGUUUGGUUCGCUAAACGAUUGAAGAGAGAAGUUACCCAAACCUUACCAUUUAGAGGAAGGAGAAGUCGUAACA
rnacentral:rRNA from 1 species